AUUACAGAAGGAAGAGAGCUGAGCUCUAAAAGAUUUGGAGGAUCACUUUGGGAUACAGAUGUAAUAAUUGAAUGCUGCUGUGCUCAGGGAAAGGCUUCAGAUUCUCCAUGGCAGUGGACCCUGAAGAUCAGAGUGGACUAUGAAGAUGAACUGCCUGGACUUCAGUCUGAGCUCUGUCAUCUGUUAAUUAAGUGGCUAUAGGUUCCCUCAGCUGUGCUGCAAGUUAGACCCACACAGAUGAGACUCCAUCUGUCCAAGGCAGUUUUCCUGAUCUUUGGGGGACUGGCUUGUGAAGAAUCCUAGGCUACUGUUGUCCUUUGCUGCCUAUCGAUAAGUAAUAAACCACUUCAUGUAACUUGUGUAUGAGUGUGUUCUGUCUCACCAGACUCAGAUAAGGUGAAGAGUGCAGAGUGAAUCUGCUUCACAGGUAGUUUUAUAUUCUUUUACUACUCUUUUUAUAGUUAUAAUAAUGAUUACAUCAAUCACACCUGACAUAUUAAAGUCUACUACUAUGUUACUUCUUCCAAGAUAGUAAAGACACUAUGCCUUGCUAGCCACAAUGUUUUCUUAGACAGAAAGAAUAAAAAUAAUCCGGGAAUUUGUUAAAAAUGAAAAAUAGUUAAUGCAUGCUGGGCUUAAUACCUAGGUAAUGGGUUGAUAGGUGGAACAAACCACUUUGGCACACGUUUACCUGUGUAACAAACCUGCACAUCCUUCACAUGUACCCCAGAACUAAAAAUAAAAAUUUAACUUUUCGUAAAGGAUAAAAAAGACACAUAUUAAGUGCAAUGUACACUGCUUGGGUGAAAGAUACACCAAACUCUCAGAAUUCACCACUAAAGAACUUAUGCAUGUAACCAACAACCACCUGUACCCCCAAAACUAUUGAAAUUUUUAGAAGAAAUAGGAAAAAUAUGCAAAAUCUCCAUCCCCACCCCAGAUCUAUUAAUCAGAAUCUAACUUUUUACUUUUUCAUAAUUUAUAUAUCAUUUUCAUGUAUUUUAAUUUAAAUUUUUAACCCAUGUGAUAUUGUUUAAACAGUCAAUAUUCAUUUAUAUUUACCAAUAUACACUUAUUUAUACUUAUUCCUUUCUGUAUUUCUGACCUUGCCAUUGUGUGCCCACUGUUUCUAGGCCUUUUCAAUGGACAAAGACGGUUGAAAAAUUUUUUUUAAUAUGUGGAUGUGUCUAUUGAGAGACAGAGAGAUGAGAGAGAGACAGAGAGGGAGGGAGGGGGGAGAGGGAGAGAGAGAGAGAGAGAGGGAGAUACAUAAGGUCAUUUGAAAUAGUUCAUUUCUGUAUGAGCAUUAACCAGCUGGAUACAAUUAAGUUAAC
rnacentral:lncRNA from 10 species